CCUACGGGGGGCAGCAGUGGGGAAUAUUGGACAAUGGGCGAAAGCCCGAUCCAGCCAUGCCGCGUGUGUGAAGAAGGCCUUCGGGUUGUAAAGCACUUUCAGUGGGGAAGAAAGCCUUGGGGCUAAUACCCUCGAGGAAGGACAUCACCCACAGAAGAAGCACCGGCUAACUCCGUGCCAGCAGCCGCGGUAAUACGGAGGGUGCGAGCGUUAAUCGGAAUUACUGGGCGUAAAGCGCGCGUAGGCGGUCUGAUAAGCCGGUUGUGAAAGCCCCGGGCUCAACCUGGGAACGGCAUCCGGAACUGUCAGGCUAGAGUGCAGGAGAGGAAGGUAGAAUUCCCGGUGUAGCGGUGAAAUGCGUAGAGAUCGGGAGGAAUACCAGUGGCGAAGGCGGCCUUCUGGACUGACACUGACGCUGAGGUGCGAAAGCGUGGGUAGCAAACAGGAUUAGAUACCCUUGUAGUC
rnacentral:rRNA from 1 species